AAACUGACAAAUCUAAGCAAA
rnacentral:snRNA from 1 species